AUGAUCAUAGGUGAAUUCAAUGAAAUUCUUGUUGCAAGUGAGAAGGAAGGAGGUAACAUGAGGCCACCAUAGUAUAUGCAAAAUUUCAAAGAUUGUCUAGAAGAAUGUAGCCUACAAGAAAUAAUGUAUGUGGGAGAUCCCUUCACCUAGAGUCGAGGUAUGAUCAAAGAACGAUUGGACCGGGCAGUAUGCAAUGAAGCAUGGUCAGAUCAAUUCCAAUUUGUGGCGAUAGUACAUGAACAUCACAUUCACUCGGAUCAUAUCCCCCCUUUGCUAGAGAUUAAAUAUUUUGAAUCAGCCAUGACACAAUAG
rnacentral:rRNA from 1 species